UUGAUUCUCUGCUAAAACCCUACUCUCGAUUCGGCUGCGGAGGUACGAUGUGUCGGGGAUGGCAAGAAAAAGGGCUCGGCCUUCGUGAUCGGCUGCGCUGGAGAAAUUCCUCCAUGAGAGGAUCGAGGUCGGUGGCGGUAAGGUUGUCACCCUAGGAGACGCCGGAACAGUCACUAGGAACAAGAGCAGGCUCAUGGUCACCACGGAGAUGCAGAAGUAUGACAACAUUGAGCAAACAGUCUUCCUUCAGUUUGUGGUGGUCUACAUUAGAAAUAGAGGAGCUCUUCUUCAUCCUUUGCUCUACCAAUGAUGGCACCAAUGAAGAGGCGUCGUCCCUUGACAAACGAUGUUGGUGGAAUGCAGCUGUCGAUAAAGAGGCCUUCAAUUCUAAGGCAAAGCAAAAGGACGCAACUAAACCCCUCAAGGUGAAACUGCUGACUUGAGGGCGAACCAUUGCGCAUUCGGUAAAGAGGCCUUUCAUUGUUUUGCUACUCUUUUUUAUGACUUCAAAAGUUGUUGACGAUUGGAAUGCCCCAGUUAGGUUUUUAUUGUUUCGGGCAAAUCAUUACAAUCUUACAUUGGAAGUUAAGGUGUCUCAAAUCAUGAUGUUUCGUGCUC